CAACUUUGGUAUAACAUACCAGAUUUUGGUAUAAAAAUAAAAAUAAAUAAAAAUAGUGUGAGAUACUAUUUUUAUUGAAUUUAGAGAGGUAAAAUAUAAGUCAGAAAUGACUUGUGCUGAAAUCAGAAUGAAAGUAGAAGAUUUAGAAUUUUCUGUACGAAACGAGACUGAUAUUUCAGCAGAAAAUGCAGUGUCAGAAAAUUAUGAAAACUGGAGAAUAUGUCGGAAUUAUUUUUGUGAGACUAGAUUUAAAGUUUCAUGUCAAUCCGACACCCGGAAGGUUGAAAAUAAAAUCCGACUGCUAUCUGCCAGAAAUUACAGUUCGGUAGAGCUCUCGGUGACCAAAUAUGGUCGAAACUGAAAGAUUAAAAAAAAUUUUGUACUUAUUAAGUAAAACCGAACCUGACUGUCAAAUUUGAGUACAAACGGACAUUCAGA
rnacentral:lncRNA from 1 species